rnacentral:rRNA from 1 species
AGCAGUCGCCGCGGUAAUACAGAGGAUGCAAGCGUUAUUCGGAAUGAUUGGGCAUAAAGCGUCUGUAGGUGGCUUUUCAAGUCCACCGUCAAAUCCCCGGGCUCAACCCUGGACAGGCAGUGGAAACUACCAAGCUGAGUACGGUAGGGGCAGAGGGAAUUUCCGGUGGAGCGGUGAAAUGCGUUGAGAUCGGAAAGAACACCAACGACGCAAGCACUCUGCUGGGCCGACACUGACACUGAGAGACGAAAGCUAGGGGAGAAAGUGGGAUUAGAUACCCGUGUAGUCCCUGUCUCUUAUACA